rnacentral:rRNA from 1 species
UACGGAGGAUGCGAGCGUUAUCCGGAUUUAUUGGGUUUAAAGGGUGCGUAGGCGGAUUGAUAAGUUAGAGGUGAAACGUCCGAGCUCAACUCGGGAACUGCCUCUAAUACUGCUGAUCUAGAGAGUAGAUGCGGUAGGCGGAAUGUAUGGUGUAGCGGUGAAAUGCUUAGAGAUCAUACAGAACACCGAUUGCGAAGGCAGCUUACCAAUCUAUAUCUGACGUUGAGGCACGAAAGCGUGGGGAGCAAACAGG